AAGCGGGAGACCCGGGUCGAGAGUGUGGGGCGGAGCCUGGGGGCGAGGCGGCGGAGCCUUGUCUCUUUAAGAACCCGGACGGAGGUGAGGGUCAAAUCUGCGGAGCACCUUGGGGGCGUGGUCUAUCCGGUGUAGGCGGAGCCUAGAGGUCUUGGCAAUUGGGGGGGUGGAAAGGGCGGAGUCACGCUUGAAGAGUGCGGAAGUUCAGGGGAAAGCGCGAAGGCGGGUCGCCUUGGCGACGACUUUAGGCGGUGCAGGAGAAGCCAGAGAUGGGGGGCCAGCGAGCGGAGGGGCUACGUGGGGGAGGAGACUCUUUUUGGUAACCUGGGUGGGACGGGGCCUCGUGGAAGCCUCAGCGACCAAGGGGCAGGGCCUUCGUGGGGUCGGGAUGUCUCUUUGGCAACCCGGGGUAGGUUAUAACCUGUAGGCAACUGCAAAGCUUUAGGGUCCUCAGUCUGAGCCUGCGCAGGGCGGGGCCGGGUUUCCAUGGUGACGACGCAGUGCCUGGACCAAUCCUGGAAUCCGCCUAGGAACUUGGCGUGAGCCUGGAGGCGGAGCUCCAGGUUUGCGGGGCCGUCUUCUUGGCAACCAGGAUGGACCAGCCUGAAGGCGGGUGACUAUAUCCGGAGCCGGGACGCAGUCUACAGGGCUGAGUUUCUCCGGCAUCCGGGAUUGGAUGUAGGAACCUCGGAAAGCCAAGUACAGCCGCGAAGCCGACUCCUCGAGGGGCAGGACUUGGUUGCCUUGGCAAUGGCUUAGGUUGUUAGGGCUGUCCCUAAAUAGCCAAGGUGAGGGGCGGGGCCUAAGAGACUCCUCUUCUUCAAACCACCAAGCCCUCUUUUCCCUGCUUUCUUCCCCUCGUUUAGCCCACCAGACAAGCUUGCCUGUGGAUAUUUGCUUGCAUUGUCUGUGCCUCUCCAAGUGCACGGUCCCCCAGACUCCCAUGCAACUUUGCUUCUCGUGUAUAAAUCUCAGCAACAAUGUUGCCUUCUCACGCGGUCACACUACGUGCACCUGAUAAACUGUAAAGACGGCGCCGGGCAGAAGGGACGAUACACAUCAGGCGUCCCACAAAACCCGAGAUAAGGAUGAAGAAGGGAUCCAUUCUCUGGUGGAAGGAGGAUCCUCUAGCCCGCAGGCACCCCGUGUGACUCUUCAGGAGUGAAUGAAGCCUGCGUCGUCAUCUAGGCUAGGUCCAGAAUGUUUCUGAGUCUCUGCUCAGCACGCCACCCACAGGCAACCAGCUUCGAAUGACAUCUGGAACAAGUCAUCCUGGCUAGCGUGACCGGAACAUCACAAGCUCAGGGCAGUCUGGGCAACUUAGCGAAACUGUCUUCAACAGCCGAGUCGAGGUGUAGCCUCAGAGACAGAGCUCCUGCCUAGAAACCCCAGUGAGGCUGAGAGAAGCACUGUUUAGGGAUGGAGCACUGGCCUAGGACCUCUAAGUGAGGGCGCAUGGUCAGGAUAGAGCACAUACAUCACAUGGGUUCAAGCCUGAGUGCUAGAAAACAGACAUUGACAAAAUUGGAGCCCAUAAGACAACCCCGUGGAUUAAGUGCUGCAGGGAUCUCUCACAGCUGAGGACCCUUGGUGAGAAGAAAGAUCUAACUCCUGCAAAUUGUUCUCUGGCCAUCACAGUACACUUUGACCGACAUACCCAUGUAUGCAUAUACCCAAGGAAAUGUAGUAAAAAUUACUCUCAGAACCCAAACAUACUGGGUUUCCAGUGGAGCAGGGCUGAGAUUUUUUCCCAGCACUGUCAAGGAAUAAAAUGGAAAAUUGCUA